ncrna:unclassified sequences RAGATH-18 RNA
CCUGUGGAGUGUCAUACAAACGAUGGUAGCUUUGGCAAAAUCGGAUACGAUGAAACAGGAA